rnacentral:ncRNA from 1 species
AGGCAGGGCAUUCCUGCCCUUCCGUAACCGUCUCUUCGGAGAC